UGAACGCUAGCGGCAGGCUUAAUACAUGCAAGUCGUGGGGCAGCGCAGGUAGCAAUACUGGGCGGCGACCGGCAAACGGGUGCGGAACACGUACACAACCUUCCUACAAGUGGGGAAUAGCCCAGAGAAAUUUGGAUUAAUACCCCGUAACAUAGCGAUGUGGCAUCACAUUGUUAUUAUAGCUUCGGCGCUUGUUGAUGGGUGUGCGGCUGAUUAGAUAGUUGGCGGGGUAACGGCCCACCAAGUCUACGAUCAGUAGCUGAUGUGAGAGCAUGAUCAGCCACACGGGCACUGAGACACGGGCCCGACUCCUACGGGAGGCAGCAGUAAGGAAUAUUGGUCAAUGGACGAAAGUCUGAACCAGCCAUGCCGCGUGAAGGAUUAAGGUCCUCUGGAUUGUAAACUUCUUUUAUCUGGGACGAAAAAAGGCGAUUCUUCGUCACUUGACGGUACCAGAUGAAUAAGCACCGGCUAACUCCGUGCCAGCAGCCGCGGUAAUACGGAGGGUGCAAGCGUUAUCCGGAUUCACUGGGUUUAAAGGGUGCGUAGGCGGGCAGGUAAGUCAGUGGUGAAAUCCUAGAGCUUAACUCUAGAACUGCCAUUGAUACUAUCUGUCUUGAAUAUUGUGGAGGUAAGCGGAAUAUGUCAUGUAGCGGUGAAAUGCUUAGAUAUGACAUAGAACACCUAUUGCGAAGGCAGCUUACUACGCAUAUAUUGACGCUGAGGCACGAAAGCGUGGGGAUCAAACAGGAUUAGAUACCCUGGUAGUCCACGCCCUAAACGAUGAUUACUCGACAUUUGUGAUACACUAUAAGUGUCUGAGCGAAAGCAUUAAGUAAUCCACCUGGGAAGUACGACCGCAAGGUUGAAACUCAAAUGAAUUGACGG
rnacentral:rRNA from 1 species